rnacentral:rRNA from 1 species
UACGAGGGGGGCGAGCGUUGUUCGGAAUUAUUGGGCGUAAAGGGUGCGUAGGCGGUUUGGUAAGUCUGAUGUGAAAUCUAUGGGCUCAACUCAUAGUCUGCAUCGGAAACUGCCGGGCUUGAGUAUGGGAGAGGUGAGUGGAAUUCCUGGUGUAGCGGUGAAAUGCGUAGAUAUUCGCAAGAACACCAGUGGCGAAGGCGGCUCACUGGCCCGGUACUGACGCUGAGGUGCGAAAGCGUGGGGAGCAAACAGG